rnacentral:lncRNA from 10 species
UAUUUUCCCCCUCACCAUCAUCGUUAUACAGUAAGUGACAACAAGAGACCCAGUGGAUUAAAAGACAUGUUUGUUUUCAAUAUUAUUUGGAUUUCCAGAGACAGUGAAGGAUAGGUACAGAGUAGUCAAUGAAUGAGUAAAGCAUAUUAAUGUCACAUCACCAUAUUAUAGAUUUUUAGUUAUUAAAAUUCACAUAAUACAGUUUGAUCUGAAAAAAAGAGCCCUAGAGAAAUUUUUAUUCAAGCAGUAGUAAAAUAAAGGUAGCAUAUAAGAUACAUCAGCCUCAGGUAAGUUAAGCAAUUUGCCCAAAAUUAUCCUAGUUAACACUUGCAGAGGGAGAAGCAUAGACCCAGAUUUUUUAUGUAUAUACAAAGAUUCAUAUAAACAAUAUAUUUGUGAUCGUUAAGUCAAAUGCUGUAAUUUUUAGGGAGAAUAUUGAAGCCAAUAGAGGAUAACUGUCAGGGAAGAAACUCGUUGAUCUAGGAAUAGAACCUAAAACACAGAAAGUUAUCCAUGAAAACAGGAAAGGUAGUUUUUCAGAUAGAAAAAAAAAAAGGAUUGUGGAGAUAAAUUGAGACAAUAAUCUAGUUUAAAUCUGCCAAAACUUAGUAUAAAUAAAACUGCAAAAUGCUUGUUUGGUUUAAAGUAGAGAUGAAAUUCAAAUAAAAUAUAAUGAACCAUUUUAAUAUGUUCAAUUCGCUGGCAGUUAGUAGAUUAACAAUGUUGUGUAACACAACCACUAUGAAAUGUUUCAGAAAACAUUUUCAUCUCCCCAGAAUAAAUAAUUAUUGAAAUCCCAUUCUUCUUCUUUAAUUUAGCUCUUUAUUUACAGUUUCUUUUAGCUCUUUCAACAUUUUUAAGAAACUUGAUACAAAGUCUUUGUGUAGUAAGCCUAAUGCUUGGCCUCCUCAGGGGCAGUUUCUAUUCAUUUCUCCUCUUAUUGGGCCGUAUUUUCUUCUUUCUUUGCAUGCUUUAUAAUUUGUCUUUGAAAAUUUGACAUUGCAAAUGUAAUUUCUAACUAUAAAAAUUAUAUGAUUCUCCCUUCUUUAGAUCUUCAGAUUUUCUUUUGUGGUUGUAUUUUUUAAAGACUUUUUUGUUUGUUUUUACUGUCCGUAUUAUUUGUUAUGGGUGGUCUCUGAGGUAUAUGUUUCUUUAUCUCAUGUCUAGCUAGUAUUUUCUCAUAAAAUUCCUUGAACCCCAGCAACCAUCCUUGGACUGUGGCCACCAAUCGUGCCAUUGUACUAAAGUCAGGAGAGAGAUUUCUUUCUGUGCAUUGACCUGGGCUUUUUAUUCUUCUUAUUGGAUCCUGGUUGUUCUGCUUCCAAUUUGUGUUGAACUCACCCGACCUUAACACUUGAUGGGUCUAAAGGAGCUCAGCUCAUAAAGAAUAUUUUUACUUGUCCUAAAUUUAAAUAAAAGAAAUGGCCCUCUGUUCCCCUUCAGCCAAUACGUGACUGCGGGCCACCCAUAGGAGAAGGUACAAGGCUGUUUCCUGCAGCUGAGUGAACCGAAUAAU